rnacentral:rRNA from 1 species
AUUGAACGCUGGCGGCAUGCUUUACACAUGCAAGUCGAACGGUAACGGGCCUUCGGGUGCCGACGAGUGGCGAACGGGUGAGUAACAUAUCGGAACGUGCCCAAGAGUGGGGGACAACCAGUCGAAAGAUUGGCUAAUACCGCAUACGAUCUAUGGAUGAAAGUGGGGGACCGCAAGGCCUCACGCUCCUGGAGCGGCCGAUAUCUGAUUAGCUUGUUGGUGGGGUAAUGGCCUACCAAGGCGUCGAUCAGUAGCUGGUCUGAGAGGACGAUCAGCCACACUGGGACUGAGACACGGCCCAGACUCCUACGGGUGGCAG